AACACAAGCUAUUCUUCAUAUAGACGGGAAGAGGUUCUGGUGAGCUGGCUUUGGUUAUGGAGACAUAUACUUCAUACACUUCACAAGGAUGGUUUUCUCCCUCAAUGUUCCAGAACUAUGAGGGAUCUCUUCUUGAUGUUUUCUUUGAGAAAAUUGUCGAAUUGCUACAGCAAAAGGCAAUAAAGGUGUGGCCAUAUUCCAGAUGCAGUGAGUCAAGAGUGGACAAGACAGCUCAAAGACAACUCCCAAAAGAUUUCUCAAGAUGGAACAAAAGACCUUGCUCAUGUUAGGCAAGUAUUCUGCCAUUGAGCAUCAUAUCCAUUCAACAACUAUGAUUUGUGAUUGACUUCCAGAUUGCCAUAGUCUAAAAUCCACAGACACACACAGA